rnacentral:misc_RNA from 1 species
GGCCCAUCUCACCAUGUUCUGCAACUAUGUCAUUUCAACAUAGACAUUGUCAAUGAUUAAUUAAUGAAUAACAUGUACCUCCUUAAAUGUUCUGCAUGUGUGUUACUUCAUGGAUGCUGAAAUUUUGUGGUACAAAUCUUCGUCAAUUCAUCAUAAAGAAUUUGGAAACAUCAUUGCUCUUUUUGGGUUUUAUUGCUGUUUGGAUUGAGUUCUUGUAGAUGUUUAAAUUAAGCAUGUCAUUGUUUU